GUUUUUGUAUUUUUUUUUUUUUUUUACAGAUGGGGCUUUGUCUUUUUGCCUAGGCUGGCGUCGAACUCCUGAACCUUCUCACCUCAGCCUCCCAAAGUGCUGGGAUUAUUUUCCCCUUUUACAAAUGAGGAAACUGAGGCCCAGUGAUGAUUCCAUGGAGACCGGCUUGCCUGGGGCUCAUGGGAAGCUGCUCAUGGGGUUCUUGGGGCUCUGUCCCUGGCUGUCACCUGUACUGAGGGCUGGUCCGGGGUGGGGACCAGGCUUUGGGGGCAAGAACUUGCGCCUCCUCGUUGCUCCCACCCACGUCCUCCCCAUGGAGCUCACCUGUUGGAGGGGGUUUUCUCUGCCAGGCAUUUUGUCAGGAAACCGUGAGGGAGGGCUCGUCACUCACUGCUGUAUCAACGUUGAACAGUUGGGUGCAGGAAGAUGCCUUGGCUGUUCGAGGUCCUGAUGGUUGGGAGGGGCCCUGCCUCGUGUGGCUUGAGCUGAGCGAGCACCCCUGGCCUGAGCAGACGGCCCUGGCUCCCCCAGGACACGUCACCUGGAGACGUGGCCCUCUCAGGCUCCGUCCUCCUUCCCUGCGGUGGCCCCAGCCUCCCCGCCAAGCUUCCUGGCCCCCGCCCCAUCCUGGGCCUGCUGCUGCGGAGACCGUGGGCCGGCACUGGACGGCGCGGCCUCCAGAAGUGAUAGCUAAUUGGGGAGAGAAAGGGCCCAAUUGUCUGGCGGGGCCGGAAGAGCCGCGUGGGCUGCUGAAAGCGCCGGGAGGAGGUGGCCGCUUCGCCCAGCAGCUGCCGCCGGGGAUGUUUGCAGAUUACGUCAGUGCUGGCGAGCAGGGGGCGCGGGGACAGCGAGGGGGGCGGGCUCCCGGCGGCCUCCCGCCCCCCAGGCCCCUGGACAAUGCUGUCAUUGUCGGCACAGAGAGUGGUUAAUUCUGGAUGAAUGGUACACGGGCCUCUUGACCAAGGAGGCCGCUCGCCGCCCCCGUCUGUCCCCUCACAUGCCAGGGAGGCCCCGGGCUGGAGUCUGGCGGGCAGGGCUGGCCUGCUUGGCGGCACCGGAGAGAAGCGGGUGGUCCCUUGGGGGCGCUGGCUGCAGAGGCCCCUGGCUGGACGGAGCUUCCUGACCCAGGGCCGCACGGCGGCCACUUGGCAGUGCCGGGUUUGGACGGCAGGGCCCCACCUCAUCUUGGUUCGAGGGCAGAGGCCUCUGCUGCUCUGUGGGGCUGACCUUGGGCAUGACCUCCUGGCCAGGUGGCAGCUCGGGCCCUGACCCGCUCCUGGCCCUGCUGGUGGUGAUCCUGCUAGCACGCCUCAUCCUGUGGUCCUGCCUCGGGACAUACAUCGACCACAGACUGGCCCAGCGGCGGCGCCGGAGACCCAAGCAGGACUAGGCCUUGGCAGACUGUGGCCUCCACGUGCCCUGCACUCAGCAGACCCUUCCGGUGGUGGUGGGAGGGAGGGGAGCAGGACAGGCUCAUGAUCCCCAUGUCCCACCCCCGGGGCAGGAGCUCAGUAAGGCCUGAGAUGGACCGUGCGUGCCCAGACUGACCAGGGCUGUCCCGUAGAGGCGGCUGGCCACGUGGUGAGAUGGAAGAGCCAGCCUUGCGGGUCCCUUAGCAGGUUCUGGGGUCCCCGGUUGCAAGGUGUGGUCCUGGGGGUGGGUCUUGCUUUAAGAUCUUCUCUGCCUUCAAUUCCUUAUAAACAUGCCUGCAGGAGUUGCUGGGUGAGCCAGGGGACUCAGGUGGAGAGCCACAAAGAAAGACGAAGGUGGAGGGCCGAAACCAGACUUGCGGCCCAAGGCCACGUCCUGCCUCAGCUCACCACCAUCAUAACCAGUCUCCUCCUGCCUCCUGAGGGACAGGACAAGUGUGGAUGGCUGUGACGGUUUCCCCAGAGCGGACCCCUGGGAGCGUCUGAAGACACACGCGUGAGGCUGAGUUCAAGUCUGGCUCCGGUUGACCCUCUGCACACUCUCUAACAGUCCAAACCUCAGUGAGGGCACAAUGAUCCCUGCCUUCCUCCCUCAGCAGGACAUCACGUGUGGGACGCUUUAGGGGACAAGCCUAGGGACCGGCCAAUGCCCUCUGCUCAUCUGUCCCUGCACAUGCUGCGCAUGUGUGGAUGGGAGGUACCAGGAAGGCCGACGGGGCAGGGAAGUUGAUUUGAGGCCAGGCACCCGUGCCCCGUCGCCACUCCCCAGCACGUUAGCUGCGAUGCGAGCGACUUAACCCACAGCUUGUGGAAGCUCCGUGGUUCUCACGCUGGCUCCACAUUACAGCCUCUGGUGGGGAGUUCGGCAAACACCCAUGUCCGAGCUCCACGCUGUCUUUCCUGGGAUUGUUCCAGCAGAUUCUGGAUUGCGGCAAGGGCUGCUGACUUCGCAUGGAACAGUGAGACAGAAAGGACCAUGGUCGGCAGCUCCAGGGAGGAGCAUCGAACCAGAUACCGUUCCUGCGAGGCGGGGCCUGGUGAUGCGGCUGCGUCUUGCUCUUUGCUUAGUGACGGGCAUGCUGGGGACACUCCCUCUGGGAACGUGGGCCAAGUCUUCUGAGCACGAAGCUCACACAGGGGGUGAUUCCUGUGAAUUCUGAAAGGACUUGGGAGCGUCCAGUAAGAGCAGGAGCUUAGAUGGUGAUUCCAGGGCUGGUGUUGCUGACUGGGGUGCAUGCCGCUCCCUGCCCGGGGUGGGCAUGGUUCAGGCUGGGAGCCUCUGCCUUGCUGUAUCCUGGCUGAAUGACCCCAGGGGAGGGCCAGAAACGCCUUAUCGCUAUUUCUGUGGCACCUGAUACACUCACCUAUGCCAAGGACCCGCUGUGCGCAGAUCCUCUGUUCAAGGGAGCUGCAGAGAUGGGGGUGCUGACGAGCAGGAGCUGAGACCGGCUGGGGUGGGACCGACCAAGAGUUUGAGGGUGGGGUGGUGUCCAGGGGGCCAUGUGAGGAUGACCUAUUGCAGAGGGUCCCUUUUCGUUCACACCCUGAAGUCUGCACAGGGGCAGGGGCUACGGUGCUCCGUUUCCAUUUGGCCUCUGUCGUGUCGGCCAGAGGCCAGCCGAACUCUGCGGCCACUCCCCUGCGUCACGGACAAUUCGCUGCCACCACCGGCGGCCCAGGGCUCUGCCUGGAUAUUCUCACCUGAUCGCAGGACCGCGGGGAGGGAUGAUCUCAUUGAUCUCUAAGGAAAAUACCGUUGGAGCUUGAGAAGCACUAUCUUGUACAUUUUAUGGAUCUCUUCAAGGAAGAAAAAUCACCUUUGUUGCCAUGAGCAG
ensembl:lincRNA